rnacentral:tRNA from 1 species
GCCUCGGUUGUGUCAUGGAUAAGCACGGCAGACCGGAUAUUUGUAAGUGUGGGUUCGAGUUCCGCCUGGGGCU